CAGGAAGACAGAUAAUCCCCAGAACAACCAGGAGGAAGCACCACCUGUGGAGAAUUAGAUUGGAAGCUCUACGUGGCAGGGACAAUAUCUACCUGUGUGUUUGGACAGCUCAGAGCACAAUGGGGCCCUGCUCUACAAAGGCAAUGGGGAGCCAAAUCAUGGCAGUCCAACAGAAAUGGGAUUAUGUGGCUAUGCAGAAGAGAAGAGAAGCUCUAAUAGAAGCACCUACAGCAUGGGAGAGGGGACAUUGCUGGAGAAAAAGAGAAUGGACAACAGCCAUGCAGCAUGUUAUGUUUUCAGCGGCUACAAGAGAUUGUUAGAAAGUCUUAUGUCUUGUUUGUCAAAAGGAAAAGAUGAAGGUUAGAAAUGGAGAUUCAGAGAAUGGAAAGUUCAAGAGACAAAGCAAGAGAAGGAAAAGCCAAAUACUGUGAAGCUUGAAACAAUAUUUAUGUUACAAAAAUGUUGAGUUGUUGAUGUGAUGGGUUGGAUCACAGAAACCCCCUUGGGAGCUGCCACCUGAUGUGCCCAGACUACUUCUACCCCUUUUCCCUGCCAGCUCAGGACCCCAGCACCCUGUCUUGCUGAGCCAGAUACUCCUGUCUGCUCUAACAAAGACCCAGAUUCUGAAUUACUUGCCCCAAAGCUGCAGGUUCACCUGAAAGCCCCUCCCAGAAGUGUUCUUGUCUUUAACACCCAGCUGCCCAACUCCCAAUGGGGUCUAAACCCAAAUAAAUCUGUUUUACCCUGUAUAAAGCUUAUAUAGAGUAAAUUCAUAAA